rnacentral:rRNA from 1 species
CAGUAGCCACGGUAAUACGUAGGGUGCAAGCGUUAAUCGGAAUUACUGGGCGUAAAGCGUGCGCAGGCGGUUAUAUAAGACAGAUGUGAAAUCCCCGGGCUCAACCUGGGAACUGCAUUUGUGACUGUAUAGCUAGAGUACGGCAGAGGGGGAUGGAAUUCCGCGUGUAGCAGUGAAAUGCGUAGAUAUGCGGAGGAACACCGAUGGCGAAGGCAAUCCCCUGGGCCUGCACUGACGCUCAUGCACGAAAGCGUGGGGAGCAAACAGGAUUAGAUACCCCCGUAGUCCCUGUCUCUUAUAC